rnacentral:tRNA from 1 species
GGAGAGAUGGCUGAGUGGUCGAAAGCCCCUUCCUGCUAAGAAGGUAGCCCUGCAAAACGGGGCUCGAGGGUUCGAAUCCCUCUCUCUCCGCCA